rnacentral:rRNA from 1 species
UACGAAGGGGGCUAGCGUUGCUCGGAAUCACUGGGCGUAAAGCGCACGUAGGCGGCUUACUAAGUCAGGGGUGAAAUCCUGGAGCUCAACUCCAGAACUGCCUUUGAUACUGGCGAUCUCGAGUCCGGGAGAGGUGAGUGGAACUGCGAGUGUAGAGGUGAAAUUCGUAGAUAUUCGGCAAGAACACCAGUGGCGAAGGCGGCUCACUGGCCCGGUACUGACGCUGAGGUGCGAAAGCGUGGGAGCAACAGGG